CUUUAGCGAGGCAGUCUCGGGCGCCCAGCUGUCAGAGCUGUUAGCCUGCUUAAACAGAGGAAAAUGGUACAGGCAGAGCUGGUCUGGUAUCAGGAAAAAGGCUGCCUACGAUAAUCCACUGCAGGACCCUAAAAGUCUCGACCUUAGGGCCCCCUCGGACCGUCUCCAAGGUCGGGUCCCGCUGGAGAAGGAGGCAUUUCGAGAGUGUUUGAAAUACUCUAAGACAUUUUGGAGCUCUUGGGGCCUAUAAUGAAGAAACGUAUAUCCUGCGAUGAAAACUUGAAACAAGCUACCUGUGAAAAUGCUUUGCAAUGUGUAGAUUCAUCUGACAGUUAAACCUUUGUUUUGAUUCAACAGGUUAGAAACACUGUUUUCAUAUAAUCUACGAAGGGACACUUCGGUGCCCAUUGAGGAUUAUAGUACAAAACCAAAUAUUAUGCAAUUAAAACUACAAACAAGCUAUUGGGGAAAAUGCUUUGCAAUGUGAAGAUUUGUCUCACAGAGGUAAACACUUACUUACAUACAGCAGGUUGGAAACACACUUUUUGA
rnacentral:lncRNA from 1 species